GUAGGUGGCAAGCGUUGUCCGGAAUUAUUGGGCGUAAAGCGCGCGCAGGCCGGGUUUUUAAGUCUGAUGUGAAAGCCCACGGGCUCAACCGUGGAGGGUCAUUGGAAACUGGAGAACUUGAGUACAGAAGAGGAAAGCGGAAUUCCACGUGUAGCGGUGAAAUGCGUAGAGAUGUGGAGGAACACCAGUGGCGAAGGCGGCUUUCUGGUCUGUAACUGACGCUGAGGCGCGAAAGCGUGGGGAGCAAACAGGAUUAGAUACCCUGGUAGUCCACGCCGUAAACGAUGAGUGCUAAGUGUUAGGGGGUUUCCGCCCCUUAGUGCUGCAGCUAACGCAUUAAGCACUCCGCCUGGGGAGUACGGCCGCAAAGGCUG
rnacentral:rRNA from 1 species